GCCGGGGAGGGGACCGACCCCCAGUCGCCCGGAGCCGAGAAACGGGGCUGGGAGACGAUCCCUCCCCGGC